UACGUAGGGUGCAAGCGUUGUCCGGAAUUAUUGGGCGUAAAGAGCUCGUAGGCGGUCUGUCGCGUCUGGUGUGAAAAUCCAGGGCUUAACCCUGGACCUGCAUCGGGUACGGGCAGACUAGAGUGCGGUAGGGGAGAUCGGAAUUCCUGGUGUAGCGGUGAAAUGCGCAGAUAUCAGGAGGAACACCGGUGGCGAAGGCGGCAUCCUGGACCGGCAUUGACGCUGAGGCGCGAAAGCCAGGGGAGCAAACGGG
rnacentral:rRNA from 1 species